rnacentral:lncRNA from 1 species
CAAAUACACAAGGAUGCACUCACCUGUCCCAGGUGAUCGCUGCUGUCUCCCACGGGUGAAAUUGCUGGGGCUUUUCAACACAUGUGUUGCUGGCUCGUUCACCAAGAUGGGGAAACAAACGUGUGGAAAGGGCUGCUGACACGUGGCUUCAAAUCCUCUGGCAGAGCACAGCUCUCACCCAUCUCUGCCGCAUUCCCUGGGUCUCCCUCCUCCCCUCGCUCCUCCAGGUGAGGCAGGCUCCCUGCAGCCCCUCCCCAGUGCCAAAGCGCCUGUCUGCACAGCUUGCUCUGGGUCCUGCCCCUGUCUGAAAUGAGGGAGAGCCCUGCAGGAUCUCACUCUGCUUUUCUGGGGCAGAGAGGCAGAGCCUGAGGCUGAGCAGGCAGCCUGUGUUUGCUCUGUGCCUGCCAUGAGAGGCCUGGUGAGCGCUGGUGUCGCUGGCAGGGGCAGAACAAUUGGUUGUACUGAUGAAUCCUGGGCCUAUUGGGGGUCACAUAUUAACAAUAAACUGGAAAUGCCAACUAGACCGCGUUCGUUC